CAGCAGGGAAGAAACCGCAUAAUUCUGAAUUACAACUGACAAAACUACGAGAACCCUAAAUCGAACUCUUCGCCUUGAACUCCAUAUACAAACAUUUCAGAUUCGUACUUCCACUUCCUGAAAAUAAUACUGUUUGUAAACGAAAAGGCAAUAAGGUUACUCCCAAAACUCCUGUACUCCAUGAUCCAUCCUCAAAGAGUGGAAGGAACAGCAAAGUAGAAGGAACAAAGCACUGACGUCAAUUACGAGAUUAACCCCAAGCACAGGCAGCUGGAGGAAAGGCCUAAACAUCAAUAUCCACGCACAAGCUACUGGGAUAACUAGGUAACAGACCGAUUCAGAAGUUGUAGGGGAGGGUAUUCGAGUAUUAUACCCCCACGUUCCCAUUUUUAGUCAAUCCCCUUCGCAAGUCGAAGGCGGAAAUUUUUCCUUCUUUUUUUUUUUUUUUUGCGGGGGUGGGGGUGUGGGAGAGGUGCGCAGGAUCGCGAGAAGGAAAGCGAGAACUAGCUGGGUAAUGUUAGCCAGAAUCUGGGCCUAUUUUCUCUUUAAUUAGACAUAAUUUGAAAUUGAGGAGGAUAUGAAAAAGUAACAAAUCAGCCGAUGGAACGUCUGAGGAAAGAAAGAGGAAAGGAGAAACACUAAACGGAUGGAUUUCUGGGAAUUUUUGUUAGGAUUGGGUUAGCUUUUUUUAUUUUCUUAUCUUUGCGGGAAGGUGGUGGGGUGGGACGCGCAGAUGAGAGGAGGGGUGACUCUGUCGGCCCUUCUUACCUCCAGUCCCGGCUCCGCUAGGCCCGA
rnacentral:lncRNA from 10 species